rnacentral:rRNA from 1 species
AUGGCCAAAGUAUUGCGAAGCAACCUCGAGGAGGCGUUGCUGAUGUUGCAGGUCGCCGGCGUCGGAGCUGCAUUGGAGCACUCUCUCGGUCAUUGGAGCUCCGCCGCGCCUACAAUGAAGCGACGCCGGAGCUGCAAUGAAGCGUGCCGGAGUUGCAGUGAAGCACCGGGGGAGGGUCGUGGAAACUUCGCCGGGGCUGCAAUGGAGCUCGGCCGGAGUUGCAAUGGAGCUUCACCGGAGCGUCGGUGCUAG